AUGCAAGUCGAACGGUAACAGUCGAAGCUUGCUUCGAGCUGACGAGUGGCGAACGGGUGAGUAACGCGUAGGGAUCUAGCCUUUUGAGGGGGAUAACCCGGGGAAACUCGGGCUAAUACCGCAUACAUUCUACGGAAGAAAGUGUGGUUUUUAAUCACACGCAAGAGGAUGAACCUGCGUCGGAUUAGCUAGUUGGUGGGGUAAAAGCCUACCAAGGCGAGGAUCCGUAGCUGUUCUGAGAGGAUGAUCAGCCACACUGGGACUGAGACACGGCCCAGACUCCUACGGGAGGCAGCAGUGGGGAAUAUUGGACAAUGGGGGCAACCCUGAUCCAGCAAUGCCGCGUGUGUGAAGAAGGCCUGCGGGUUGUAAAGCACUUUCGCUAGGGAGGAAGGAUGAUUGGUUAAUAGCCAAUUGUAUUGACGUUACCUAGAGAAGAAGCACCGGCUAACUCUGUGCCAGCAGCCGCGGUAAUACAGAGGGUGCAAGCGUUAAUCGGAAUGACUGGGCGUAAAGGGCGUGUAGGUGGUUAUAUAAGUUAUCUGUGAAAUACCCGGGCUUAACCUGGGGGAGUCAGGUGAUACUGUGUAACUUGAGUCUAGGAGAGGGAAGUAGAAUUUCCGGUGUAGCGGUGAAAUGCGUAGAUCUCGGAAGGAAUACCAGUUGCGAAGGCGACUUUCUGGCCUAAUACUGACACUGAUGCGCGAAAGCGUGGGUAGCGAACAGGAUUAGAUACCCUGGUAGUCCACGCUGUAAACGAUGAGAACUAGAUGUUAUAUGACCUACGGGUGAUAGAGUAUCGCAGCAAACGCGUUAAGUUCUCCGCCUGGGGAUUACGGUCGCAAGAU
rnacentral:rRNA from 1 species